UUGGAUUUUCCGCUUUCUAUCUUCUCUUUUUUUUUUUUUCUGUAUUCUCUUCCUUUCUUUCUUUUCCUCUAUGGCUUUUCUUCUCAGUUCUGAAUUGAUUUCCUUUCUUUUUUCAUUUAUUUUGGCGCAUUUUUCUUGGCUUCCUUCGGUCUUUGAUCUGUGCAGCUCCUAUUUCCUUUCUUUUGAUCCAUUUUUCUUGGUUUUCUUUGGUGUUUGAUCGAUGCAAGUACUAUUCUUUUUGGUUUCUUUGAACCCUAAUUGUAAAUGUGGUAGAAUUUACCGUUCUUGGUGAGAAAUAAGUUGAUUGUUCAAUUUUUUUUCAUAAAGAUCAGAUAUGAGGUACGCGAAGCCUCUAGAGGGGUUCCAUUUUGCACAGCUUCGCUGGGUUCCAAGAGUUUUUUUAUUUCCUUUUUCUUCAGCUUGGGGAGGGGAGAGAGACUUGUUUAGUUGUAAGCAUAAAGCAGCUGCUUAGAAUUUCAUUUGGGCAUCCUAUUAAACAAUUUAGAUAAAGUCUUGAGAUUGAAAUGGGAAAAUUAUAGUGGUGCCACGGAGUAGAUUAAUCACCACUGACAAGCUUUUAGGCAAAAUUGAGUAAGCAAAAUGGUCAUUGAUAUUUCGAGAAUCAUGUUGAAAGUAAAGCUCAUGGAAUUAUGACGAUUAAAGAAACAAAACUCCUUUUCGAGCAUGGUGAAUCUGUUGGUCUUAUCCUACCAACAUCUGUCAUUAGGUUGACUAUCCUAUUUCAUUUUUUU
rnacentral:lncRNA from 1 species